UGGGGAAUAUUGCACAAUGGGGGAGACCCUGAUGCAGCCAUGCCGCGUGUGUGAAGAAGGCCUUCGGGUUGUAAAGCACUUUCAGCAGUGAGGAAGGUGGUGUACUUAAUACGUGCAUUGCUUGACGUUAGCUGCAGAAGAAGCACCGGCUAACUCCGUGCCAGCAGCCGCGGUAAUACGGAGGGUGCGAGCGUUAAUCGGAAUUACUGGGCGUAAAGCGCAUGCAGGCGGUUUGUUAAGUCAGAUGUGAAAGCCCGGGGCUCAACCUCGGAACCGCAUUUGAAACUGGCAGGCUAGAGUCUUGUAGAGGGGGGUAGAAUUUCAGGUGUAGCGGUGAAAUGCGUAGAGAUCUGAAGGAAUACCAGUGGCGAAGGCGGCCCCCUGGACAAAGACUGACGCUCAGAUGCGAAAGCGUGGGGAGCAAACA
rnacentral:rRNA from 1 species